GACGAAGGUGGCGACCGUUGUUCGGAAUCACUGGGCAUAAAGAGCACGUAGGCGGCAAGGUAUGUCGGGUGUGAAAUCCCUCGGCCUAACCGAGGAAUUGCGCCCGAAACUACCUUGCUUGAGGAUGGAAGGGGAGCGUGGAAUUCCUGGUGGAGCGGUGAAAUGCGUUGAUAUCAGGAGGAACACCGGCGGCGAAGGCGACGCUCUGGUCCAUUACUGACGCUGAGGUGCGAAAGCGUGGGGAGCGAACAGG
rnacentral:rRNA from 1 species